rnacentral:tRNA from 1 species
AUAGUGGCUCAGUUGGUAGAGCAUUGGCUUCCCAAGCCGAGGGUCGCGGGUUCGAGUCCC